ACCAUAGUACUCUAGAGUCUAGUACACUGUACCAUAGAGUUUCUCACUAUAGUACCAUACUAUAGUGAGAAACUCUAUGGCGGCGGCGCCGACCACGUGCCGACUAUGCUUGGCGUUCGCCGCAAGCGUUUCCCGGGCCAGCGCCCGAGCCGAUGUGGAGCGCGUCCGUACCCUCCGGAGGCAAGCGGCGUUCCCCCCGGGCGCAUGUUAUACGGGGGCGCAUGUGCACGCGUCCAUGAACGAUGAGUGCGUUGCCGUAGACCACAGAGGCGCUGCUUUCGUUGCUCGCGGAGGCCGCUAAUGCGCCGUACGGAGUGAAUUCGACGCGUGUGAUGAAUGCGGCUGGCGUCUGCUAGUGCGAAAGGCUCUUCGGCUGGUGAUAAUGGGGCAUCUAAAUCGACUGUAGCUCGAGGGAGGCCGCGGAACACGGAGGCACAGAACGCCGAGGCCAAAGCCAGACAUGCUGAGGCAAGGCGGAGAAGGUGGCGGGAGAAUCCCGAGGUGCGGGCUCGUCAAGCUGAAGCGAAGCGGCAACGACGGGCUAUGGACCCGAAAGUUAGGGCAAGAGAAGCGGAGGCAAGGCGGCGUAGACGUGAGGAUCCGGAAAAGCGUGCUAGGGACGCUGAAGCGAAUCGGCUACGACGGGAUAUGGACCCGAAAUAUAAAGCUAGACACGCGGAGGAAAUGCGGCGUAGACGAGAGGAUCCGGAACUGCGUGCUAGGGAGGCUGAAGCGAAGCGGCAACGUCGGGCUAGGGACCCUGAACUUCGGGCAAGAGAAGUGGAGGAAAGGCGGCGUAGACGUGAUAAUCCAGAACAACGUGCUAGGGAGGCUGAAGCGAAGCGGCACCGACGGGAUAUGGACCCGGAACUUCGGGCAAGAGAAGCGGAGGAAAGGCGGCGUAGACGUGAGGAUCCGGAACAGCGUGCUAGGGAGGCUGAAGCCAAACGCCAGCGAAGGCAACGAGAACGUGAUUUCCAGGCAAUAGAGGCUGCAUUAAUGCGUCAGCAACGUGAACAACAUCCGGAUUUCAGAGUGCGGGAAGCCGAAACCAGGCGCCAACAACGGCAAGAAGUUCCAGAAAUUCGAGUCAGGGAAGCAGAAGCCAAACAACUUGGGCGACAAGCCGAUGCAGAGCAACGAGCCCAGGAGAGGUUGUGCCAACAUGAUGACCCUCCGCCUCGGGGAGCCCAUCAGUCUUGUCAGACGGAACACCACAUCACUCUAGUGUGGUGCGCAAGACCAAAUGUUUCAACUUGCAGCACUGGAGUGCAGGUGGAACUCUGGGAACAGGAGCGUUGAUGGAAGUGCACAAGAAGGAAAUGAAAGUUCCUGUACUGCCAAGGCAGUAUGAAGCAGCUCUUUAGCCGCUGUCCUGGAGCCACCCUGGACAACCUUGCCCACGACUAAACCAUCAAAGAUGCUUUGAUGAAACAUAUCCUUAGGGAUCGGGUCUCCUUUAUCAGUUCGACGUUCGACUGCCAUGCUGCUGCGAGACAUGUGAAUCGAAAAGCCUACGUCAUAAGCAGUAUUAACACAUCUGGGCUGACUUGCUCAAGGGUCACAAACCAUUCUCGUUUGCCAUUAAAGCUAAAAGUACCUGAUUACAUUAAAUUUGUGUCUGCU